rnacentral:rRNA from 1 species
GAUGAACGCUGGCGGCGCGCCUAAUACAUGCAAGUCGAGCGAAUGGAUUGAGAGCUUGCUCUUAUGAAGUUAGCGGCGGACGGGUGAGUAACACGUGGGUAACCUGCCCAUAAGACUGGGAUAACUCCGGGAAACCGGGGCUAAUACCGGAUAACAUUUUGAACCGCAUGGGUCGAAAUUGAAAGGCGGCUUCGGCUGUCACUUAUGGAUGGACCCGCGUCGCAUUAGCUAGUUGGUGAGGUAACGGCUCACCAAGGCAACGAUGCGUAGCCGACCUGAGAGGGUGAUCGGCCACACUGGGACAGGGACACGGCCCAGACUCCUGCGGGAGGCAGCCGUAGGGAAUCUUCCGCAAUGGGCGAAAGUCUGGCGGAGCAACGCCGCGUGAGUGAUGAAGGCUUUCGGGUCGUAAAACUCUGUUGUUAGGGAAGAACAAGUGCUAGUUGAAUAAGCUGGCACCUUGACGGUACCUAACCAGAAAGCCACGGCUAACUACGUGCCAGCCGCCGCCGUAA